UACGUAGGGUGCAAGCGUUGUCCGGAAUUAUUGGGCGUAAAGGGCUCGUAGGCGGUUUGUCGCGUCGGGAGUGAAAACACCGGGCUUAACUCGGUGCUUGCUUUCGAUACGGGCAGACUGGAGGUAUGCAGGGGAGAACGGAAUUCCUGGUGUAGCGGUGAAAUGCGCAGAUAUCAGGAGGAACACCGGUGGCGAAGGCGGUUCUCUGGGCAUUACCUGGCGCUGAGGAGCGAAAGUGUGGGGAGCGAACAGG
rnacentral:rRNA from 1 species